rnacentral:lncRNA from 1 species
AAUAAGAUUCAUUAUUAUCAACAACAAAGGAUUAAGAGUAAUUCCUAAGGUAAUUAAUUUCUCUAAUCUUUAUCUUUUACACAACAAGAAAAUAAAAAAGAAAAAGAAAAACCCUUUAUAUCGAGGUGGUGCGUUUACAAACCCUACUCUGGAAAAGUCCUAAAUUCCUAAAGGCUGUACUUUCAACAAAGUCGACUGAAGAAGCAUCUGAGGCAUAGUGAAAAGAUCGGACUCUUCAAGCUACAAUCUUAUUCUCCUCUGUAUUGAAUCUCACCAUGGAAGCUCUCUUUACUUCAACACACAUCCCCAAUUUACAGACGAGGCCUCUCCUCAAAUCUUCGCUGCCCACUUCUUCCCAGUCUUCUUCGUGCUGGUUUUGUAGUUCGCUACCCAAAAGGCAAUUCUCGAAGCUGAGAAUCAGUAAUGGAUCAAGUCACGGGCUUCGUGNNNN